GCAUUGCCGAGGAGUCCCAUGCCAGGACGAAACGGCCGUCCAGUGC
rnacentral:hammerhead_ribozyme from 1 species